AGAGUUUGAUCCUGGCUCAGGAUAAACGCUGGCGGCGUGCCUAACGUAUGCAAGUCGUGCGGCCCUUCGGGGCAGCGGCGGACGGGUGAGUAACGUGUAGGAACUUGACUCAAUCUAAGGAAUACCUCCGCGAAAGCGGAGCUAAUGCCUUAUAGUCUCGCAAGAGUAAAGCUUCGGCGGAUUGGGAGAGGCCUGCAUCCUAUCAGCUUGUUGGCGGGGUAAAUGCCCACCAAGGCUAUGACGGGUAGGGGCUCUGAGAGGAGAGACCCCCACAAUGGGACUGAGACACGGCCCAUACUCCUACGGGAGGCAGCAACUGGGAAUAUUGCGCAAUGCUCGCAAGAGUGACGCAGCGACGCCGCGUGAGCGAAGACGGCCUUCGGGUUGUAAAGCUCGCAAAUUAGGGAGGAAAUCUUGACUUAACCUAAUUUAAGCCUUGACUAACUACGUGCCAGCAGUCGCGGUGAUACGUAGAAGGCAAGCGUUAUCCGGAUUUAUUGGGCGUAAAGGGCAUGUAGGCGGGCAGAUAAGUCUUUCAUCAAAUCUUUUGGCUUAACCAAAAAAUUGUGCGAGAUACUAUUUGUCUAGAGGGAGAUAGGGGCAGAUGGAACUUGCGGUGUAGGGGUGAAAUCCGUUGAUAUCGCAAGGAACACCAACGGCGAAGGCAGUCUGCUGGAUCUCAUCUGACGCUAAUAUGCGAAAGCGUGGGGAGCGAACGGGAUUAGAUACCCUGGUAGUCC
rnacentral:rRNA from 1 species